CCUGGAAGUUGUGAGACAUGGAUUUGCCUUUUCAUUUUUAAGGUUAUGGAUACCCCGCAGCACCCACUUUCAGCAGUGAGCUGAGCACAAUACCCUCCAGCAUCUCCUUGAUGAACCCAGAGCACUCUGGAGUGCUCAGAUAGCCCAACUCUGACUGAAUUCCAGUAGGAGGCCAUUUAAUAGGAACCUCUUUUAGAUAAAGUAUUUCUACAAACAUGGAAAUAAAGCAAUACUCUGUGAUCCUCUCCAAAAGAAACAGCGUCAGAGAAGUUCAGUGUGGAAAACCUUUUUUGAUCAUCACAGUCCCUUCCUCAUUACUGAAGGAGGUAGGGCUCCAGACUGUCUGCCGAAAACACAACUGACAAAGGUGCAGCUGUGGUGCAUGAUAUAUGAUGAUGGCAAUCACUGGGACACAUCUGGGGAGCCUGAGUUUCAUUAUUCUGUUCCACAUCCUUGCCACUGACCCCAUUAUGUGGGUGGUUUCAACGUAUUUUGUCUGCUAAAGGGCUACAAGAAGAACUGAGGCUUAAGCUUCAGCUAUUACAUCUGCUUUCCUGCAUUCCCAAAGGUAACAGAGGAACCUGCUUUGUCUGCACUAGUUUAACAGAAAAUCCCCUCUGUUCAUGUAUUCUCAAUCAGUCCAAAAAUAAUUAUCCUUUGACUGGGUCUGACUGUAAUACAACCUGCCCAUCUGACUCAAGAGUUCAGGUUAUUCACAGAAUCAUAAAGACCAUAAGGAGAAGACCACCAAGGUCUAGUCCAACCGUCAACCCAUCACCACCAUGUCCACUAAACCAUGUCCCAUGGUGCUGGAUCCUAAAAAAGUACACGCAUAACAAGAUGUAAAACUUCUGUCUUUCCAGCGACAUUUCUAUUAUUGUUAUUUCUUCAAGAAAUAAAUAAGAAAUCAAAUAAAUGCAAACCAUUCCAC
ensembl:lncRNA